rnacentral:lncRNA from 13 species
AGAAAAGGGCAACCAGUGAAGAACAAACACCAUUGUAAAUACAACCCAUAUUUAUGCUUAUUUAUUUUAUCUUGUGUCCUUUAACCAUUUGUACAUUGUUAAAACACUGUAUAUAUAUAAUAUGACAUUUGUAAUGUCUUUAUUGUUUUGAAACUUCUGUAUGUGUAAUGUUUACUGUUAAUUUUUAUUGUUUUUCACUUUAUAUAUUCACUUUAUAUAUUAUCUACCUCACUUGCUUUGGCAAUGUUAACACACGUUUCCCAUGCCAAUAAAGCCCUUGAAUUGAAUUGAAUUGAAUUGAAUUGAAAUUGAAUUAAUAUACAAAAGUGAAAUAAGCAAUAAAAAUGAACAAUAAACAUUACACAUACAGAAGUUUCAAAACAGUAAAGACAUUACAAAUGUCAUAUUACGUAUACAUACAGUGUUGUAACAAUGUACAAAUGGCUAAAGUACACAAGGGAAAAUAAAUAAGCAUAAAUAUUGUCAUGUUGUCUUGUCUCUGUCCUUUCCCUUCACCCUGUCUCCCUCUGCUGGUCGUUGUUAUGUUACCUUUUCUCCCCCUCUUUUCCCCAGCUGUGCCUUGUCUCCUCCUAAUUACCCAUUCACCCCGUUCCCCACCUGUUCCCUUUUUCCCUCUGAUUAGGUCCCUAUAUCUGUCUCUGUUUCUGCUCCUGUCCUUGUCGGAUUCUUGUUUGUUUGUUUGUUUGUUUAUGUGUCUCAUGCCUGAACCAGACUAUCAUCGUGUGUGCUGCAACCUUGUCCUGUCCUGUCGGAAUCUACCUGUCCAUCUGAGCCCACGUAUGUUCGUCAUUAAAGUACUCUGUUUGUUAAUUCGCUUUUGGGUCCUCAUUCACGCACCAUAACAAAUAUGGGUUGUAUUUACAAUGGUGUUUGUUCUUCACUGGUUGCCCUUUUCUUGUGGCAACAGGUCACAAAUCUUGCUGCUGUGAUGGCUCACUGUGGUAUUUCACCCAGUAGAUAUGGGAGUUUAUCAAAAUUGGAUUUGUUUUUGAAUUAUUUGUGGAUCUGUGUAAUCUGAGAGAAAAAAUAUGUCUCUCUAAUAUGGUCAUACAUUUGGCAGGAGGUUAGGAAAUGCAGCUCAGUUUCCACCUCAUUUUGUGGGCAGUGGGCAUAUAGCCUGUCUUCUCUUGCGAGCCAUGUCUGCCUACGGCGGCCUUUCUCAAUAGCAAGGCUAUGCUCACUGACUCACAUUUCUCUCUCUCUCUCUCUCCCAAUUUCUCUCCCCAUCUUUCUCUCUCUCUCUCUCUCUCUCUCUCUCUCUCAACCAGGCAUGAUUCUCAUUACACCCUUAUAUUCUGCUCUCACAUCUCUGAAUGCUCUAAGGAGAUCGCGCCACUGAACAACGAUGUAUCUCACUUUAAUCUAAAUGAAAGAUUAAAUAAAAUAUAGUGCCGGUAGGAGGACAGUUGAAUCUCUACAGGAAGAUAAAACAGACCUCCACCACACCUCUUUCUCCAUAUCUCUCAUUCUCUCUUUAUCCACCCCCCUCUCUCUCUCUUUAUCCACCCUCUCUUUCUCUGUCUCUCGCUAACUCUCUCUGCCUGGCUGCCUGGCUGACUGAUUGCCUGAUAGCUGGGUGUAAUCUACUGCUAUAUUGUGUAACGCCCUCAUCAUUGAGGGGCUGACUGACUGGAUUACUAACUCACUGACUGACUGGGUAACUAACUCACUGACUGACUGGAUAGCUAACUCACUGACUGACUGGGUAACUAACUCACUGACUGACUGAUAACUAACUCACUGACUGACUGAUAACUAACUCACUGACUGACUGAUAACUAACUCACUGACUGACUGGGUAAUUAACUCACUGACUGACUGGAUAACUAACUCACUGACUGACUGAUAACUAACUCACUGACUGACUGGGUAAUUAACUCACUGACUGACUGACUGGAUAACUAACUCACUGACUGAUUGGGUAACUAACUCACUGACUGACUGAUAACUAAUUCACUGACUGAUAACUAACUCACUGACUGACUGAUAACUAACUNNNNNNNNNNNNNNNNNNNNNNNNNNNNNNNNNNNNNNNNNNNNNNNNNNNNNNNNNNNNNNNNNNNNNNNNNNNNNNNNNNNNNNNNNNNNNNNNNNNNUAGGCCUCUGACCCAUUGGUACCGACCUCUGACCCAUUGGUACAGGCCUCUGACCCAUUGGUACAGGCCUCUGACCCAUUGGUACAGGGUAGGCCUCUGACCCAUUGGUACCGACCUCUGACCCAUUGGUACAGGCCUCUGACCCAUUGGUACCGACCUCUGACCCAUUGGUACCGACCUCUGACCCAUUGGUACAGGCCUCUGAUGAUCUUUAUAUCGUAGUAAUAAUAUGUUUAGAAAUGGCAUAUGCCAACUCUUUGUCUCUGGAUUAAAGUGAAUGAUAGCAUUCAAGUUCAUACACUCAUAUUCAUCUCCAAACAGAUAGUCGGCUGGGCAAAAGGACCAGAUGAUGAUUAGCUGGACAAACUGCCUGACGAUGGAGAAAUCCCAAAUGGCACCCUAUUCCCUAUGUAGUGCACUCAUAAUUAUUUAUUUUUUUAUAUCAGGGCCCAUAGUGCUCCUAUAGGGCUCUGGUCAAAAGUAAUGCACUUUAUAGGGGAAUAGGGGGUGCUAUUUUGGACAGAGCAACGAUGCUCUGACGGGCGAAUGAAGAGAGAACAACAAUACAGCAGAAUGAGAAAUGAAGAGUCAAAGCAUAAUGGAAACAGAGGCACUACAUCAUGUUCCACGUGCAAAUUCUUCUUUUUUUUAUCCGAUCCCCAGUGUACUAGAAAAAGGCUUGUUUUCAUUGACAUUAUUCUGUUCACAAGGCAAAAGGACCGUUCUGUCUGUUUCCUCAUAUUCGGGUUUGAAUUAGAAUUCAUUAUUAUUAUUAUAUUAGUUCUAUUGUCAUUUCCAAUAUAUUCACAAUCCUCUCUAGCUGAUUAAAUAAAGUGAGGUCAAGGUGAUGAUGGUUAAAUCCAAGUAAUGUAGAAGCUGGCCCUGUAUCAGUGUUGUUAUUGGAAGAAGCUGGCCCUGUAUCAGUGUUGUUAUUGGAGGAAGCUGGCCCUGUAUCAGUGUUGUUAUUGGAGGAAAAUAUUUCAGUGUUGUUAUUGGAGGAAGCUGGUCCUGUGUCAGUGUUGUUAUUGGAGGAAGCUGGCCCUGUAUCAGUGUUGUUAUUGGAGGAAGCUGGCCCUGUAUCAGUGUU